rnacentral:rRNA from 1 species
AGCUUGCUCCCUGAAGUCAGCGGCGGACGGGUGAGUAACACGUGGGCAACCUGCCUGUAAGACUGGGAUAACUCCGGGAAACCGGGGCUAAUACCGGAUAAUUCUUUUCCUCUCAUGAGGAAAAGCUGAAAGAUGGUUUCGGCUAUCACUUACAGAUGGGCCCGCGGCGCAUUAGCUAGUUGGUGAGGUAACGGCUCACCAAGGCCACGAUGCGUAGCCGACCUGAGAGGGUGAUCGGCCACACUGGGACUGAGACA